rnacentral:rRNA from 1 species
GACGAACCGUGCGAACGUUGUUCGGAAUCACUGGGCUUAAAGGGCGCGUAGGCGGGUCGGUAAGUCCGCGGUGAAAUCCCCCCGCUCAACGGGGGAACGGCCGCGGAGACUGUCGGCCUCGAGGGGGGGUAGGGGCGAGCGGAACGCUGGGUGGAGCGGUGAAAUGCGUUGAUAUCCAGCGGAACUCCGGUGGCGAAGGCGGCUCGCUGGACCCCCCACUGACGCUGAGGCGCGAAAGCGUGGGGAGCAAACAGG